UACGAAGGGGGCUAGCGUUGUUCGGAAUUACUGGGCGUAAAGCGCACGUAGGCGGAUUGUUAAGUCGGGGGUGAAAUCCUGGAGCUCAACUCCAGAACUGCCUUCGAAACUGGCGAUCUUGAGUCCGGGAGAGGUGAGUGGAACUGCGAGUGUAGAGGUGAAAUUCGUAGAUAUUCGCAAGAACACCAGUGGCGAAGGCGACUUACUGGACACAUAUUGACGCUGAGGUGCGAAAGCGUGGGGAGCAAACAGG
rnacentral:rRNA from 1 species